rnacentral:rRNA from 1 species
CCUACGGGAGGCUGCAGUGAGGAAUAUUGGUCAAUGGGCGUAAGCCUGAACCAGCCAAGUCGCGUGAGGGAUGAAGGUUCUAUGGAUCGUAAACCUCUUUUAUAAGGGAAUAAAGUGUGGGACGUGUCCUAUUUUGUAUGUACCUUAUGAAUAAGGAUCGGCUAACUCCGUGCCAGCAGCCGCGGUAAUACGGAGGAUCCGAGCGUUAUCCGGAUUUAUUGGUUUUAACGGGUGCGUAGGCGGCCUUUUAAGUCAGCGGUGAAAGUCUGUGGCUCAACCAUAGAAGUGCCGUUGAAACUGGGGGGCUUGAGUAUGGUUGAGGCAGGCGGAAUGAGUGGUGGAGCGGUGAAAUGCUUAGAUAGCACGAAGAACCCCGAUUGCGAAGGCAGCCUGCCAAGCCAUGACUGACGCUGAUGCACGAAAGCGUGGGGAUCAAACAGGAUUAGAUACCCGAGUAGUC